UACGGGGGGUGCGAGCGUUGUCCGGAAUUACUGGGCGUAAAGGGCGCGUAGGCGGCCGCCUAAGUCAGACGUGAAAUCCCUCGGCUCAACCGGGGAACUGCGUCUGAUACUGGGUGGCUUGAAUCCGGGAGAGGGAUGCGGAAUUCCAGGUGUAGCGGUGAAAUGCGUAGAUAUCUGGAGGAACACCGGUGGCGAAGGCGGCAUCCUGGACCGGCAUUGACGCUGAGGCGCGAAAGCCAGGGGAGCAAACGGG
rnacentral:rRNA from 1 species